AUGUUCUACUGCGUCCCGCAGAUUCUACUGCGUCCUGCAGAUUCUACUGCGUCCUGCAGAUUCUACUGCGUCCUGCAGAUUCUACUGCGUCCCGCAGAUUCUACUGCGUCCUGCAGAUUCUACUGCGUCCUGCAGAUUCUACUGCGUCCUGCAGAGUUCUACCGUGUCCUAAAAUGUUCUACUGCGUCCCGCAGAUUCUACUGCGUCCUGCAGAUUCUACUGCGUCCUGCAGAUUCUACUGCGUCCCGCAGAGUUCUACCGUGUCCUAAAAUGUUCUACUGCGUCCUGCAGAGUUCUACUGCGUCCCGCAGAGUUCUACCGUGUCCUAAAAUGUUCUACUGCGUCCUGCAGAGUUCUACUGCGUCCCGCAGAUUCUACUGGGUCCUGCAGAUUCUACUGCGUCCUGCAGAUUCUACUGCGUCCUGCAGAGUUCUACUGCGGCCUGCAGUGGGCGGGGCUUCCCGGCAUCUGUCAUCACUUUCCAUCUUUGCUGUAAAAACGGCUCAAAUCCAGAUUGGUCUCCUGGCAUUCAGUGAAUCUCGACCUCUCCCCAUUCCUCUGUAGCACCACACCUCGGUCACAAUUGCUUACCUGUCAGUACUUCAAAUUGCCCCUCCUGCCUUGAUUGCCACCGCAAAUAUUCCCCCUUUCACCCAGCCGUCAGUGAAUGUUAUCUAACCGGCUCUCACGCCCACAUUUGUCCUUUGAGUACGUUCCUCAGAAGACGCUGCCGCAUCCAUCACUCAGCAGGUUUUAGUGCAAACAUCACGGAGAAAGAAACACUUUCCUGGUGAGAGCUGUCGAUCCAGCCGGGCCUGAUCUGCUAACCUGCAGGGACCACGAGUCCUGCGUCUGCACGCCGGGUCCGGGCUCAAACCCUGGAUAUCUACAGUGUUUCUGCCAUCACAUAAAUCUGAAGCUGGUUCUGGGUUUAGAUGCAGAUUCAGACCUGGACUAGUUCCCCGUCCAGGUGAGCGGAACCAAGCAGCACAACUGCUGCGGGUCAGGUGGCUCUGACCUGGUUCUUCGUGUGCAUGCAGGUUCGGGUGUGAGUCUUGACACAGGUUUGGAAUGGGAGUGGAGGAGAGGGAGUGUGAUCCAGGAGAAAACAGCAAUGGACUUUGG
rnacentral:lncRNA from 1 species